GUCAGUCUUUGUCCAGGGGGCCGCCUUCGCCACCGGUAUUCCUCCAGAUCUCUACGCAUUUCACCGCUACACCUGGAAUUCUACCCCCCUCUACAAGACUCAAGCUUGCCAGUUUCAAAUGCAGUUCCCAGGUUGAGCCCGGGGAUUUCACAUCUGACUUAACAAACCGCCUGCGUGCGCUUUACGCCCAGUAAUUCCGAUUAACGCUUGCACCCUCCGUAUUACCGCGGCUGCUGGCACGGAGUUAGCCGGUGCUUCUUCUGCGAGUAACGUCAAUCGCUAAGGUUAUUAACCUUAACGCCUUCCUCCUCGCUGAAAGUACUUUACAACCCGAAGGCCUUCUUCAUACACGCGGCAUGGCUGCAUCAGGCUUGCGCCCAUUGUGCAAUAUUCCCCACUGCUGCCUCCCGUAGGAGUCUGGACCGUGUCUCAGUUCCAGUGUGGCUGGUCAUCCUCUCAGACCAGCUAGGGAUCGUCGCCUAGGUGAGCCAUUACCCCACCUACUAGCUAAUCCCAUCUGGGCACAUCUGAUGGCAUGAGGCCCGAAGGUCCCCCACUUUGGUCUUGCGACGUUAUGCGGUAUUAGCUACCGUUUCCAGUAGUUAUCCCCCUCCAUCAGGCAGUUUCCCAGACAUUACUCACCCGUCCGCCGCUCGUCACCCGAGAGCAAGCUCUCUGUGCUACCGCU
rnacentral:rRNA from 1 species